rnacentral:rRNA from 9 species
AGAGUUUGAUCCUGGCUCAGAGUGAACGCUGGCGGCGUGCCUAAUACAUGCAAGUCGAACGAUGAAAUUUCUAGCUUGCUAGAAAUGGAUUAGUGGCGCACGGGUGAGUAACGCAUAGGUUAUGUGCCUCUUAGUUUGGGAUAGCCAUUGGAAACGAUGAUUAAUACCAGAUACUCCCUACGGGGGAAAGAUUUAUCGCUAAGAGAUCAGCCUAUGUCCUAUCAGCUUGUUGGUAAGGUAAUGGCUUACCAAGGCUAUGACGGGUAUCCGGCCUGAGAGGGUGAACGGACACACUGGAACUGAGACACGGUCCAGACUCCUACGGGAGGCAGCAGUAGGGAAUAUUGCUCAAUGGGGGAAACCCUGAAGCAGCAACGCCGCGUGGAGGAUGAAGGUUUUAGGAUUGUAAACUCCUUUUGUUAGAGAAGAUAAUGACGGUAUCUAACGAAUAAGCACCGGCUAACUCCGUGCCAGCAGCCGCGGUAAUACGGAGGGUGCAAGCGUUACUCGGAAUCACUGGGCGUAAAGAGCGCGUAGGCGGGAUAGUCAGUCAGGUGUGAAAUCCUAUGGCUUAACCAUAGAACUGCAUUUGAAACUACUAUUCUAGAGUGUGGGAGAGGUAGGUGGAAUUCUUGGUGUAGGGGUAAAAUCCGUAGAGAUCAAGAGGAAUACUCAUUGCGAAGGCGACCUGCUGGAACAUUACUGACGCUGAUUGUGCGAAAGCGUGGGGAGCAAACAGGAUUAGAUACCCUGGUAGUCCACGCCCUAAACGAUGGAUGCUAGUUGUUGGAGGGCUUAGUCUCUCCAGUAAUGCAGCUAACGCAUUAAGCAUCCCGCCUGGGGAGUACGGUCGCAAGAUUAAAACUCAAAGGAAUAGACGGGGACCCGCACAAGCGGUGGAGCAUGUGGUUUAAUUCGAAGAUACACGAAGAACCUUACCUAGGCUUGACAUUGAGAGAAUCCGCUAGAAAUAGUGGAGUGUCUAGCUUGCUAGACCUUGAAAACAGGUGCUGCACGGCUGUCGUCAGCUCGUGUCGUGAGAUGUUGGGUUAAGUCCCGCAACGAGCGCAACCCCCUUUCUUAGUUGCUAACAGGUCAUGCUGAGAACUCUAAGGAUACUGCCUCCGUAAGGAGGAGGAAGGUGGGGACGACGUCAAGUCAUCAUGGCCCUUACGCCUAGGGCUACACACGUGCUACAAUGGGGUGCACAAAGAGAAGCAAUACUGCGAAGUGGAGCCAAUCUUCAAAACGCCUCUCAGUUCGGAUUGUAGGCUGCAACUCGCCUGCAUGAAGCUGGAAUCGCUAGUAAUCGCAAAUCAGCCAUGUUGCGGUGAAUACGUUCCCGGGUCUUGUACUCACCGCCCGUCACACCAUGGGAGUUGUGUUUGCCUUAAGUCAGGAUGCUAAAUUAGCUACUGCCCACGGCACACACAGCGACUGGGGUGAAGUCGUAACAAGGUAACCGUAGGUGAACCUGCGGUUG